AUGUUAGAUAUGUACUUCUGUUCUUAUUUUGUGUUUAUAUUAGUUGGUAUUUUAUUUGUGCAGAUUUUAGGGUUCCCUCCUCUUUCAGUUUAUACCGAUCAGGUGUUCGAUAAAAUUUUAAAAAUUGAAAUCUCUAAUGGUUUAUGCUGUUCAAUGUUUCUUUUGUUUUACAGUUUAAUCGUUUUGAUGUUUUUCGGUUUAAUGGAAUUUUCAUUUUAA